ensembl:lncRNA
CGAGAGAUAGAUGAUCAACUUCAAGAGAGGAGACCCAGAGAGCAGAAAACCCUUCCCUUUUAUAGGCUGUGAAAAACGGUUGGAGACGUGCACCACCCGGAUUGGCUGCCCACUAUCAGUCAGUUAACGCCACGAGAGAGGCAGGGCUCAGGUAAUGACGCCUGCGCAUAUUUUACUACGAGCAACGGAUGUCAGCGCCAUCUUGUAACGGCGACUGUGAGGGCGGCUCCUCACAAGUGAGAACAGCCCACUGAUGUUUAGGCCACUGAAGGGCCACACCCAAAGCUGGGUGAGAGGGUCCUAUUAUCCCAGGACAGGUUCAUUUUGUAACCAGGGCAACAAAUGCUGCCAUGAGUGGACAGGAGGGUUGGGAAUGCUGGAAUCAAAUCAUUUUGAGGAGAUGGGUUAGGAGCCUUAUGUUUCUGGACGGCAGCCAAGACUUGGAGAAGAUGCCAAAAAGAAUGACUUCCCAGACUGAUCUUGGCCAGACUUCCUGGUUUAAGAAAGUAGCACCUGUCUGCCUUCUCCAGUGUGUCUCAUCCAGACUAUCUUGUUUUAUUCUUGUUUUGGGGUUGUGUGCGUUGGCAGGGG